GUGCUUGCAGUCUCUGGAGCAGGAGGUAUGAGGCUUGUGUAAUCGGAAGCAGAAGGCUUGGCAUUGCUUCACGGUUCUGCAAGCAGAGCCUUGGCAUGCACUGCUGGUGCCUAUGCUUUAAUCUGACUUGCAGCACUUCAGGCUUACAUUGACAGCAGCCGAAUCCCCUGGUUAGACCUGCAGAUGCAGCUUAAAUGUAGAAGAACAGAUUCCCCUUACUUUUCUUCUGCAACAUCCUCGUUCAUCUUUUCGUUGGGCAGAGUGUGAGACAGUGUUGUGUACCUGACUGCACAUUCAACAGCCAGCCUUUUGGACUGUCUUUGCCAAGGAAGCAGGCUGAGGCUUUGGAAAUCCUGUCCCCGGGCCAGGCGGCCCCUUCUCGUUCAUGGGGAACACUGCAAGGAGCUGGAGAGCUGGCUGGCUAGGCAAAAAGCUGUGAGCUCGUAAUGUCUCAACAAGUAACAGGACAACUUUGAUACCACUGACUCACUGUGGGAACCAGCCUUACCCAGGCCAACACACACCAUCUGGAGUGGAGCAGGGCCUCCUCGGAGACCUGCAGCAUUGCUGGGGUACCCAGACACCCCACGCCUGGGGAUUUCCUGCUCCUCCAAUCCUUGCUUUUCCCUGCAACUCUUGGCAUGAAAGAGAGCAACUUCAGAGCACCAAAGCUGUGCCUAUCACCCUCUGACAGUGCCUUUGCUCUCUGAUUAGAUGGUCCCCUCGUGCAUUUUGAAGGGGAAGGCAGGUAGUCAAGCUGCUUCUUUCUCCCUCCUUUUGGGGCAUGAAGCAAGAAGAAGGGAUGAACUGGAGACAAGGAGGUCCCCCAGCUCUCUGUCCCUGCUGGUGGAGACCUGGUGCAGAGCUGGGUCCCCACCGACACGCGCACUUAGUCUGGCCUGAGCUUGUCAGGCAGUGGGACAAGGCUGCUCCAUCACGCAGAGGGGCUGGCUCUGGAAAGCCACAGUCUUCUGUUUGAGGGGAAGUCACAGAUCUGCGGGAGAGAAAAGCCAGCACAAAUGCUCCUUUUCCUACAAUGAGCGGAAAAAAGAAAUGUGGGGCAGAUCACCAAUGCCUGCUACUGCCUGCUCCCCUCCUGUGGAAGAGGGAAAUUUUUGGAGCCGGAAGGUUCCCCACACCUCUCUAAGUGCUGCAGCUGAGAUACUGAAGAAAAGGUGCUGCUUUCUCCUCUUGUGACUGUUUUCUGACGGGCAAAAAAGCAUGAUCUGGGAACUGGAGUUAAGCCUUGCAGAAAAGACGGGUAGCGGAGAUGGAUACAAGGGAGAGCUUAACCACAGAACACAGGCAGGGGUGGCUGGCACCAGCAGCACUGAGGCAUCCUGAGCAUCCUCAGAGUGGGGAAUGCAGAGGAAGGGUACCACCAGCACCAGGUCCAGGGGGUUCAUAAGCAUGCUCUGGAUAUGUAACUACUGCCAAAGGUGUGUGUUUCAGUCAAGCCAACUACAAGGUUAGACUCCUUGCAAACAAACAAACACGCACACAAUGUACAAACCAGGCAAACAGAAGCCAUGUCCUGAAAGGCCGUAUUUCAGUGAGAUGGAUGGAGUUAAGAGUCAUCGCGCACGUAGCGGCAUUCCCCUGUGAUAUUGUGGGCUUUGGCCUCGAGAGCAGAGCAACGAGGCUCCGUCUGCAGAAAGAGACAGACUUGAAACUAAUGUUACAUGUUUGUGGAAAACAGAAGCAGCUGUUUUGCAGACAAACUAAUAAAAGUCGGCAUCUCUCGUAAGAACAAGAUUUAGCUCAACUAUAACUCUAAAGUAUCUGCAUUCCAAAAUGCUUUGGAAAAAACAGACUCUUCUGCCUUCACAGAAUAAGUUGAACAAUCAAAAAAAAGAGUUUUCAAAAUAAGUUGUGCAACUGGAAAGCCGCUUUCUGAGUUUACUGAAGCUGGUACACAGCAUUUCUACCUGCUGCUGGGCAGCUGGGGGUUUGAUUGCUUUAGACAUGAUAAAUACAACCUGUCCAAGAGACCACACUGAGCUCUGAGCCAACUUGUACCAAACUAAGCCAGGCGUCCUGCGGUCUUACUUCUCCCCAUCACCUUCUGGAAGUUAAAACUGAUAUCUGUGAUUAAGUGGGUUGCCCUAAACAGACAGGGAUGGUGAUAUAAUUAAGAUAUCUAGGAUAUCUACAGACAGAUAUCUGUAGAUCUAUAUACAGAUCUACAGGCUCUCUCUCUUCCUACCAUGAAAUACAUCCUUAUUAGGCUCUCUCAGACCUCCAACUUUCAGAUUUUUCCUCUCUUCUCCUCAUAUCUUCAGUAUGUUUUGAGGCAACACUGAGUCCACAGUAGUAGUAAUUAAACAAAAAACAAACAAACAACAAGAAAACAAACAAAAAACAGAGCAGUCAUUAGGCUUUAUUCACUGCAGGAAUAGAUGGGGGAAUUUGAAAUCACCAAGUCAGUCCCAUUACUGUACGGAUACAUUUGGUCUGUCAUCUAUUAAAAUGCAUGACUGUAUGUGCCUGGCAAGU